rnacentral:rRNA from 1 species
GGUUAAGCGACUAAGCGUACACGGUGGAUGCCCUGGCAGUCAGAGGCGAUGAAGGACGUGCUAAUCUGCGAUAAGCGUCGGUAAGGUGAUAUGAACCGUUAUAACCGGCGAUUUCCGAAUGGGGAAACCCAGUGUGAUUCGUCACACUAUCAUUAACUGAAUCCAUAGGUUAAUGAGGCGAACCGGGGGAACUGAAACAUCUAAGUACCCCGAGGAAAAGAAAUCAACCGAGAUUCCCCCAGUAGCGGCGAGCGAACGGGGAGCAGCCCAGAGCCUGAAUCAGUGUGUGUGUUAGUGGAAGCGUCUGGAAAGGCGCGCGAUACAGGGUGACAGCCCCGUACACAAAAAUGCACAUACUGUGAGCUCGAUGAGUAGGGCGGGACACGUGGUAUCCUGUCUGAAUAUGGGGGGACCAUCCUCCAAGGCUAAAUACUCCUGACUGACCGAUAGUGAACCAGUACCGUGAGGGAAAGGCGAAAAGAACCCCGGCGAGGGGAGUGAAAAAGAACCUGAAACCGUGUACGUACAAGCAGUGGGAGCACGCUUAGGCGUGUGACUGCGUACCUUUUGUAUAAUGGGUCAGCGACUUAUAUUCUGUAGCAAGGUUAACCGAAUAGGGGAGCCGAAGGGAAACCGAGUCUUAACUGGGCGUUAAGUUGCAGGGUAUAGACCCGAAACCCGGUGAUCUAGCCAUGGGCAGGUUGAAGGUUGGGUAACACUAACUGGAGGACCGAACCGACUAAUGUUGAAAAAUUAGCGGAUGACUUGUGGCUGGGGGUGAAAGGCCAAUCAAACCGGGAGAUAGCUGGUUCUCCCCGAAAGCUAUUUAGGUAGCGCCUCGUGAAUUCAUCUCCGGGGGUAGAGCACUGUUUCGGCAAGGGGGUCAUCCCGACUUACCAACCCGAUGCAAACUGCGAAUACCGGAGAAUGUUAUCACGGGAGACACACGGCGGGUGCUAACGUCCGUCGUGAAGAGGGAAACAACCCAGACCGCCAGCUAAGGUCCCAAAGUCAUGGUUAAGUGGGAAACGAUGUGGGAAGGCCCAGACAGCCAGGAUGUUGGCUUAGAAGCAGCCAUCAUUUAAAGAAAGCGUAAUAGCUCACUGGUCGAGUCGGCCUGCGCGGAAGAUGUAACGGGGCUAAACCAUGCACCGAAGCUGCGGCAGCGACGCUUAUGCGUUGUUGGGUAGGGGAGCGUUCUGUAAGCCUGCGAAGGUGUGCUGUGAGGCAUGCUGGAGGUAUCAGAAGUGCGAAUGCUGACAUAAGUAACGAUAAAGCGGGUGAAAAGCCCGCUCGCCGGAAGACCAAGGGUUCCUGUCCAACGUUAAUCGGGGCAGGGUGAGUCGACCCCUAAGGCGAGGCCGAAAGGCGUAGUCGAUGGGAAACAGGUUAAUAUUCCUGUACUUGGUGUUACUGCGAAGGGGGGACGGAGAAGGCUAUGUUGGCCGGGCGACGGUUGUCCCGGUUUAAGCGUGUAGGCUGGUUUUCCAGGCAAAUCCGGAAAAUCAAGGCUGAGGCGUGAUGACGAGGCACUACGGUGCUGAAGCAACAAAUGCCCUGCUUCCAGGAAAAGCCUCUAAGCAUCAGGUAACAUCAAAUCGUACCCCAAACCGACACAGGUGGUCAGGUAGAGAAUACCAAGGCGCUUGAGAGAACUCGGGUGAAGGAACUAGGCAAAAUGGUGCCGUAACUUCGGGAGAAGGCACGCUGAUAUGUAGGUGAAGUGAUUUACUCAUGGAGCUGAAAUCAGUCGAAGAUACCAGCUGGCUGCAACUGUUUAUUAAAAACACAGCACUGUGCAAACACGAAAGUGGACGUAUACGGUGUGACGCCUGCCCGGUGCCGGAAGGUUAAUUGAUGGGGUUAGCGCAAGCGAAGCUCUUGAUCGAAGCCCCGGUAAACGGCGGCCGUAACUAUAACGGUCCUAAGGUAGCGAAAUUCCUUGUCGGGUAAGUUCCGACCUGCACGAAUGGCGUAAUGAUGGCCAGGCUGUCUCCACCCGAGACUCAGUGAAAUUGAACUCGCUGUGAAGAUGCAGUGUACCCGCGGCAAGACGGAAAGACCCCGUGAACCUUUACUAUAGCUUGACACUGAACAUUGAGCCUUGAUGUGUAGGAUAGGUGGGAGGCUUUGAAGUGUGGACGCCAGUCUGCAUGGAGCCGACCUUGAAAUACCACCCUUUAAUGUUUGAUGUUCUAACGUGGACCCGUAAUCCGGGUUGCGGACAGUGUCUGGUGGGUAGUUUGACUGGGGCGGUCUCCUCCUAAAGAGUAACGGAGGAGCACGAAGGUUGGCUAAUCCUGGUCGGACAUCAGGAGGUUAGUGCAAUGGCAUAAGCCAGCUUGACUGCGAGCGUGACGGCGCGAGCAGGUGCGAAAGCAGGUCAUAGUGAUCCGGUGGUUCUGAAUGGAAGGGCCAUCGCUCAACGGAUAAAAGGUACUCCGGGGAUAACAGGCUGAUACCGCCCAAGAGUUCAUAUCGACGGCGGUGUUUGGCACCUCGAUGUCGGCUCAUCACAUCCUGGGGCUGAAGUAGGUCCCAAGGGUAUGGCUGUUCGCCAUUUAAAGUGGUACGCGAGCUGGGUUUAGAACGUCGUGAGACAGUUCGGUCCCUAUCUGCCGUGGGCGCUGGAGAAUUGAGGGGGGCUGCUCCUAGUACGAGAGGACCGGAGUGGACGCAUCACUGGUGUUCGGGUUGUCAUGCCAAUGGCACUGCCCGGUAGCUAAAUGCGGAAGAGAUAAGUGCUGAAAGCAUCUAAGCACGAAACUUGCCCCGAGAUGAGUUCUCCCUGACUCCUUGAGAGUCCUGAAGGAACGUUGAAGACGACGACGUUGAUAGGCCGGGUGUGUAAGCGCAGCGAUGCGUUGAGCUAACCGGUACUAAUGAACCGUGAGGCUUAACCUU